rnacentral:rRNA from 1 species
AGGUGAACCUGCGGAAGGAUCAUUAAUGAAUUCACUAUGGAGUUGUUGCUGGCCUCUAGGGGCAUGUGCACACUUCACUAGUCUUUCAACCACCUGUGAACUUAUGAUAGAUCUGUGAAGUCGUCUCUUCCGUAGUUGAACCUGCGGAAGGAUCAUUACAGUAAUUGGGUUGUUGCUCAAAGUAGCACGCCCUCCAUAUAUACACACACCCUGUGCACUCUAUCUAUUACAGCCUGUCUCUAAUGCAUGUCGUUGAUAAUUCUACGGAAUAGAAUACAACUUUCAACAACGGAUCUCUUGGCUUUCGCAUCGAUGAAGGACGCCGCGAAAGUGCGAAACGUAAUGUGAAUUGCAGAAUUCAGUGAAUCAUCGAAUCUUUGAACGCAUCUUGCGCUCCUUGGUAUUCCGAGGAGCAUGCCUGUUUGAGUGUCGUGAAUCUCUCUCAAUCCCACUUCUGUGGGCUUGGAUUUGGAUGCUUGCUGUGGGGGGUUUGACCUCUUUCGGCUCGUCUUGAAAUCCAUCAGCUGGUCCGCCUAUGAGUUUGGUGGUGUGAUAAGAAACACUUGUAGCGCCAUUUCUAAACUCGGGGAGUUGACUGCUUUCAAUUUCAUUUUGUUUGACCUCAAAUCAGGUAGGACUACCCGCUGAACUUAAGCAUAUCAAUAAGGCGGAGGAAUAAUUAUCACUCAUCAAUAGCACGCAUGAAUAGAGUCCAGCUCUCUAAUCGUCCGCAAGGACAAUUUGACAAUUUGACCUCAAAUCAGGCAGGACUACCCGCUGAACUUAAGCAUAUCAAUAA